rnacentral:lncRNA from 1 species
GGCAAGAGAGGAGGAGAGAGGACAGAAGAAGAGGAGGAAGCCUCCAUGGACCUGAACCACAUGGCCAGGAGAAACAGUGCUGUUCACCAAGAGACCGUCACCACAUGCCUGCUUCCCUAGGGGGCGCGGGAUGAGCUGGCAAACGUGAAACCUGCCACGUAAUUUUUGUACAACUAUGAAGCAGUUGUAUCUGUUGGAAAAAGGAAAAGUUGGGCAGUCACAGCUUUAUUAAACAGAGACCAUCCAUUUGCCCAAA